rnacentral:misc_RNA from 1 species
GCUAGGUAUACCGUUAGAUCUUUCGGGAUCAGGAGAAAUGAAAAGAUUGCUUGUUAUGUGACCGUCAGAGGAGACAAGGCUAUGCAGUUGCUUGAGAGCGGGCUGAAGGUGAAGGAAUAUGAGCUUUUGAGAAGGAACUUCAGUGACACCGGUUGCUUCGGAUUCGGUAUCCAGGAGCACAUUGAUCUUGGCAUCAAGUGAGUUUUUUAUGGUUAAUUAUGUUAAAAGUAACUCGUUUUUAUUGAAAUUUGAAAUUGAAAUUCCAAAUGCUUUGUCUGUUUGUGAAUUUGUGGUAUUCCCAGGUUGAAUAUGAUUUGAUAUGGUCAUAUGAAUAGGCUAUGAUACUCGGUCAUUUUUACCAUGUUGGCCCUAAGAUAGAACCGGUUUGUGAACUUAGGCCAUUAAGAUAAUUACAGGAAGUAUUGAUGUUGAUUUAGCUGCUUAGGUUUCUGUUUUUUCAUGGAGUGGCAUGUAAAACAUUUUGGAGCUUAUUAUGGGUUAUAUGGAUAGUGCCCAUAGAUUUUGCCCGGGUUAACACUGAAGGUGAAAUUGAGCUCAAGGCUGAGCAUUUUUAAAUCUUUGGUGGAUCAAUAAUUAUGGACAAUAUUAUUCAUGAAGUGGCAUCUAUGUAAUUUAUGUCCAGGAUGGACUUCUUUUAAGUAUUCCUUGUUCAAAUAAAUUAUUUUCUAGUUAGGUGUGGUUUUAUUUCAUAAUUGUAUAUGGACUGCAUGCCCUGUUGUGAUAUUGGUUGGUUCCGUGGAGUCUCCAUUUUUUGGUCUUUUUAUUUGAUAAUUGUAACAAAGCAUUGAUGAAAACCUUGUAAUUCUAAGUUUCAUUAUUAUAAUUAUAAAGGAUUUUCAUGCCUCAGGAUGCUUUAUUUGAUGAUGUUAUUUCGAUACACAUUCGAACUUGUUGUAAAACUGACUUCAAUACUUUGAAACUCUCGACAGGUAUGACCCAUCGACUGGUAUCUAUGGGA